AUGAUGCUAGUAAAAGCUAAUACACUGCUUUGUCAGGGCAGAAGUGUAGGUUAAAAUCCUACGUAUCAUA
rnacentral:tRNA from 1 species